AUACUUACCUGGCAGGAGUGAUUCCAUGAUCAUGAAGGUGGUUUCCCCAGGGUGAAGCUCACCCAUUGUACUUCAGGCGUGUUGACACCUGCGACUUUCCCAAAUGUGGGAAACUAGACUGCGUAAUUCAUGGUAGUGGGAGACUGCGUGCACACUCUCUCCUA